GCAAGUCGAGCGGACAGAAGGGAGCUUGCUCCCGGAUGUUAGCGGCGGACGGGUGAGUAACACGUGGGUAACCUGCCUGUAAGACUGGGAUAACUCCGGGAAACCGGAGCUAAUACCGGAUAGUUCCUUGAACCGCAUGGUUCAAGGAUGAAAGACGGUUUCGGCUGUCACUUACAGAUGGACCCGCGGCGCAUUAGCUAGUUGGUGGGGUAAUGGCUCACCAAGGCGACGAUGCGUAGCCGACCUGAGAGGGUGAUCGGCCACACUGGGACUGAGACACGGCCCAGACUCCUACGGGAGGCAGCAGUAGGGAAUCUUCCGCAAUGGACGAAAGUCUGACGGAGCAACGCCGCGUGAGUGAUGAAGGUUUUCGGAUCGUAAAGCUCUGUUGUUAGGGAAGAACAAGUGCGAGAGUAACUGCUCGCACCUUGACGGUACCUAACCAGAAAGCCACGGCUAACUACGUGCCAGCAGCCGCGGUAAUACGUAGGUGGCAAGCGUUGUCCGGAAUUAUUGGGCGUAAAGGGCUCGCAGGCGGUUUCUUAAGUCUGAUGUGAAAGCCCCCGGCUCAACCGGGGAGGGUCAUUGGAAACUGGGAAACUUGAGUGCAGAAGAGGAGAGUGGAAUUCCACGUGUAGCGGUGAAAUGCGUAGAGAUGUGGAGGAACACCAGUGG
rnacentral:rRNA from 1 species